rnacentral:rRNA from 1 species
UACGUAGGCAGCGAGCGUUGUUCGGAGUUACUGGGCGUAAAGCGUGCGCAGGCGGUCUUGCAAGACAGAUGUGAAAUCCCCGGGCUUAACCUGGGAACUGCAUUUGUGACUGCAAGGCUGGAGUACGGCAGAGGGGGAUGGAAUUCCGCGUGUAGCAGUGAAAUGCGUAGAUAUGCGGAGGAACACCGAUGGCGAAGGCAAUCCCCUGGGCCUGUACUGACGCUCAUGCACGAAAGCAUGGGGAGCAAACAGG